CGUCCGGAAAUACUUGUCAUUAAAAUGAAUAAAAGGGGAUGUAUCUAGAUGUAUUUUAGUUCUAGAUGCAUCUCUUUUUGUUCAUUCUGAUGACAAGUAUUUUCGGACG
rnacentral:pre_miRNA from 1 species